rnacentral:rRNA from 1 species
GGUUAAGCGACUAAGCGUACACGGUGGAUGCCCUGGCAGUCAGAGGCGAUGAAGGGCGUGCUAAUCUGCGAUAAGCGCCGGUAAGGUGAUAUGAACCGUUAUAACCGGCGAUACCCGAAUGGGGAAACCCAGUGUGAUUCGUCACACUAUCAUUAACUGAAUCCAUAGGUUAAUGAGGCGAACCGGGGGAACUGAAACAUCUAAGUACCCCGAGGAAAAGAAAUCAACCGAGAUUCCCCCAGUAGCGGCGAGCGAACGGGGAGGAGCCCAGAGCCUGAAUCAGCAUGUGUGUUAGUGGAAGCGUCUGGAAAGGCGCGCGAUACAGGGUGACAGCCCCGUACACAAAAGCGCAUGUGCUGUGAGCUCGAUGAGUAGGGCGGGACACGUGGUAUCCUGUCUGAAUAUGGGGGGACCAUCCUCCAAGGCUAAAUACUCCUGACUGACCGAUAGUGAACCAGUACCGUGAGGGAAAGGCGAAAAGAACCCCGGCGAGGGGAGUGAAAAAGAACCUGAAACCGUGUACGUACAAGCAGUGGGAGCACAGGUUUACCUGUGUGACUGCGUACCUUUUGUAUAAUGGGUCAGCGACUUAUAUUCUGUAGCAAGGUUAACCGUAUAGGGGAGCCGGAGGGAAACCGAGUCUUAAUUGGGCGUUAAGUUGCAGGGUA